UACGUAGGGGGCAAGCGUUGUCCGGAAUCAUUGGGCGUAAAGAGCGAGUGUAGGCGGUUCGGUAAGUCGGCUGUGAAAGUCCAGGGCUCAACCCCUGGGGAUGCCCGGUCGGAUACUGCCGGACUAGAGUUCGGAAGAGGCGAGUGGAAUCCCGGUGUAGCGGUGAAAUGCGCAGAUAUCGGGCAGGAACACCUAGUGGCGAAGGCAGCUCGCUGGGACGUUACUGACGCUGAGACGCGAAGCGUGGGGAGCAAACAGG
rnacentral:rRNA from 1 species